GCCGGAAAGUGUACCGAAUUCAAUAAGGAAUGCCAAUGCAUAAGGAAAAGCUACUUUGCCGACUGCACACAGUUUUCGACACCCUGUCCGCCCGCAUAUAACUCAACAGCAUCAUUCCUGUAUUCACAGUGUCAUGAAAUGAUAAGCCUUACGACAGACAGAAUGCCAAACAAUAGUAAAACAGACAAGACGACACCCAAACAUCAAGUGGAGAGAGAAAACAACAGUUUAAAUAGUUUAAAAAUCGUAGUUCCGGUAUCAGUCAUAUGUCCAUUACUUAUCAUCAUCAUUCUCAUCACAUUUUUCACCAUACGACAAUGGAGAAAAAAGGG